rnacentral:rRNA from 1 species
AAUCAACGCUGGCGGCGCGCUUAACACAUGCAAGUCGAGCGAGAAAGGGGGAGCAAUCCCUGAGUACAGCGGCGUACGGGUGAGUAACACGUGGGUAAUCUGCCUUUUAGUGGGGAAUAACCCUGGGAAACCGGGGCUAAUACCGCAUAAUCCUGUGAAGGGAAAGCAGCAAUGCGCUGAAAGAGGAGCCCGCGGCCGAUUAGCUAGUUGGUGAGGUAACGGCUCACCAAGGCGGNGAUCGGUAGCCGGCCUGAGAGGGCACACGGCCACACUGGCACUGAAACACGGGCCAGACUCCUACGGGAGGCAGCAGUGGGGAAUCUUGCACAAUGGAGGCAACUCUGAUGCAGCGACGCCGCGUGAGCGAUGAAGCCCCUCGGGGUGUAAAGCUCUUUCGGGCAGGGACGAUAAUGACGGUACCUGAAGAAGAAGCUGCGGCUAACUACGUGCCAGCCGCCGCU